rnacentral:rRNA from 1 species
CCCAGGCGGAGUGCUUAAUGCGUUAUGGCAGCACUAGGGGGCGAAAACCCCCUAACACUUAGCACUCAUCGUUUACGGCGUGGACUACCAGGGUAUCUAAUCCUGUUCGCUCCCCACGCUUUCGCUCCUCAGCGUCAGUUACAGACCAGAGAGUCGCCUUCGCCACUGGUGUUCCUCCACAUCUCUACGCAUUUCACCGCUACACGUGGAAUUCCACUCUCCUCUUCUGCACUCAAGUUCCCCAGUUUCCAAUGACCCUCCCCGGUUGAGCCGGGGGCUUUCACAUCAGACUUAAGAAACCGCCUGCGAGCCCUUUACGCCCAAUAAUUCCGGACAACGCUUGCCACCUACGUAUUACCGCGGCUGCUGGCACGUAGUUAGCCGUGGCUUUCUGGUUAGGUACCGUCAAGGUACCGCCCUAUUCUGACUGGUACUUGUUCUUCCCUAACAACAGAGCUUUACGAUCCUNAAACCUUCAUCACUCACGCGGCGUUGCUCCGUCAGACUUUCGUCCAUUGCGGAAGAUUCCCUACUGCUGCCUCCCGUAGGAGUCUGGGCCGUGU